GUCCUGAUGACAUCAUUGGCGCCAUAGCUUAGCUUUAACUGGGAUUCUGAGCUGUCAGUUGCCUAGCAGCUGAUCUGGGCCGACUCUCAAAGGUAACACAUACCCUGGUCCAGGUUAAAACCGGUCUUCAGCUGACCCUUUCAAGGGUUUAGUCUAGAUGUCUCAUCUGAAAUGAGUCCUGCAAUCAUAUUCAGCACUCCUAAAGCAUGCUGUGAUUUCCAAUAUGCUGCAUUCAAGGCUGACUUAAGAACGGUCUGCUUUGAACUAUAUCACCAGAGCAAGUUUUUCAAAAU